UGCGCAGGCGGCUUUUUAAGCCAGAUGUGAAAUCCCCGGGCUUAACCUGGGAACUGCAUUUGGAACUGGAAGGCUAGAGUGUAGCAGAGGGGGGUAGAAUUCCACGUGUAGCAGUGAAAUGCGUAGAGAUGUGGAGGAAUACCGAUGGCGAAGGCAGCCCCCUGGGCUAACACUGACGCUCAUGCACGAAAGCGUGGGGAGCAAACAGGAUUAGAUACCCUGGUAGUCCACGCCCUAAACGAUGUCAACUAGGUGUUGGGGAAGGAGACUUCUUUAGUACCGCAGCUAACGCGUGAAGUUGACCGCCUGGGGAGUACGGUCGCAAGAUUAAA
rnacentral:rRNA from 1 species